GCUGAGGUAGCCAAGUGGACUACGGCGGCAGCCUUGAGAGCUGUUGAGGCGCAAGUCUCGCGCGGGUUCGAAUCCCUCCCUCAGCG
rnacentral:tRNA from 2 species